rnacentral:rRNA from 1 species
GAUGAACGCUAGCGGGAGGCCUAACACAUGCAAGCCGAGCGGUAUUGUUUCUUCGGAAAUGAGAGAGCGGCGUACGGGUGCGGAACACGUGUGCAACCUGCCUUUAUCUGGGGGAUAGCCUUUCGAAAGGAAGAUUAAUACUCCAUAAUAUAUUGAUUGGCAUCAAUUAAUAUUGAAAGCUCCGGCGGAUAGAGAUGGGCACGCGCAAGAUUAGCUAGUUGGUGAGGUAACGGCUCACCAAGGCGAUGAUCUUUAGGGGGCCUGAGAGGGUGAUCCCCCACACUGGUACUGAGACACGGACCAGACUCCUACGGGAGGCAGCAGUGAGGAAUAUUGGUCAAUGGGUGCAAGCCUGAACCAGCCAUCCCGCGUGAAGGACGACUGCCCUAUGGGUUGUAAACUUCUUUUGUAUAGGGAUAAACCUACCCUCGUGAGGGUAGCUGAAGGUACUAUACGAAUAAGCACCGGCUAACUCCGUGCCAGCCGCCGCCGUAAAAC